rnacentral:rRNA from 1 species
UACAGAGGUCCCAAGCGUUGUUCGGAUUCACUGGGCGUAAAGGGUGCGUAGGUGGUGAGGUAAGUCGGAUGUGAAAGCUCCGAGCUCAACUCGGAAAUGGCAUUGGAAACUACCUUGCUGGAGGGUUUGAGGGGGGACUGGAAUACUUGGUGUAGCAGUGAAAUGCGUAGAUAUCAAGUAGAACACCAGUGGCGAAGGCGAGUCCCUGGAAAACACCUGACACUGAGGCAACGAAAGCUAGGGGAGCAAACAGG